UGUUGCCUACGGGGCGCAGCAGUGAGGAAUAUUGGUCAAUGGUCGGGAGACUGAACCAGCCAAGCCGCGUGAGGGAUGAAGGUACAGAGUAUCGUAAACCUCUUUUGUCAGGGAACAAAGGCGGGGACGUGUCCCCGGAUGAGUGUACCUGAAGAAAAAGCAUCGGCUAACUCCGUGCCAGCAGCCGCGGUAAUACGUAGGUGGCAAGCGUUGUCCGGAUUUAUUGGGCGUAAAGCGAGUGCAGGCGGGUCAAUAAGUAUGAU
rnacentral:rRNA from 1 species